UUUCCGUAGGUGAACCUGCGGAAGGAUCAUUAUUGUAUAACCGAGGUGCGAGGGCUGUCGCUGACCCGAAAGGUCGUGCACGCCCGAGUGCCCUCACACACAUCCAUCUCACCCCUAUGUGGACCACCGCGUGGGUCCCCCUUUGGCUUGUUCGGAGGGGGGCUUACGUUUUCACACAAACUUUGUAUGCAGUGUAGAAUGUAUUUUUUGUUUUUGCGAUCACGCAAUCAAUACAACUCUCAACAACGGAUCUCUUGGCUCUC
rnacentral:misc_RNA from 1 species